CAAAAAUUAGACUGCAAAGGUCAUAUAGAAAUGUGAACGUGCUAUGAUAAGUUUUGUUGACUGAUAGUUAUGAACAAAAGUUUGGUUAUAAGUGUUAUGGAAAGUUGUGAUGAAAUUAUGUAUAAAACUAUAUAGAAACUAUAAAUUAAAUGUUAUAUAAAAAGUUAUGGUGAUAAAUUGUCCUAUAAAAUUUGUAUAAAAGUUGUAAAUAUAACUUUGUAAAUUUCUUUAAAUAUAAAGUUAUAAAAACAACUUUUUUUCCAAAAAUUACAUGUCUCA
rnacentral:lncRNA from 1 species